GGGGACGAGUAGAUUCGAUGGGGUAGCACUUUGAAAACUGCAAGCUGCGGACGAAACCUCACCGCACUAUCAAUGGUUUCAAAAUUAAACGGCAACAAAGUUUCCGUUGCCUUUAAAGCUGUUCGGGAUGAAGUCCGAAGUAGCGUAAAAGCUCUUACAGAGCCUUUCGCUUCUCAAAGCUUCGUUCUAGCUUAAAAGGCUGCUUUAGAUAGUCUAUUCUCGGCGAGACUCCUAGGGUACGUACUUAGUCGGGAUGCUAAAGUAUUGGUGUUGGUUGAUCCGAUACUUUUAAGUUAACUCAAUCAGAUAGUAGUUUUCCUGCUAGUUGGUUACAACUACUAUUAAAAAAUAAACUAGCUAAGCUUGUAGAAGUUUUUAAAUUACUAUUUCAGACCCCCGAUCAUAUCGGGGCGUCUCCACCA
rnacentral:tmRNA from 1 species